rnacentral:rRNA from 1 species
GACGAACGCUGGCGGCGUGCUUAACACAUGCAAGUCGAACGGAAAGGCCCUGCUUUUGUGGGGUGCUCGAGUGGCGAACUGGUGAGUAACACGUGAGUAACCUGCCCUUGACUUUGGGAUAACUUCAGGAAACUGGGGCUAAUACCGGAUAGGAGCUCCUGCUUCAUGGUGGGGGUUGGAAAGUUUCGGCGGUUGGGGAUGGACUCGCGGCGUAUCAGCUUGUUGGUGGGGUAGUGGCUUACCAAGGCUUUGACGGGUAGCCGGCCUGAGAGGGUGACCGGCCACAUUGGGACUGAAAUGCGACACAGCCUCCUACGGGAGGCAGCAGUGGGGAAUAGUGCACAAUGGGCGGAAGCCUGAUGCAGCAACGCCGCGUGCGGGAUGACGGCCUUCGGGUUGGAAACCGCUUUCGCCUGUGACGAAGCGUGAGUGACGGUAAUGGGUAAAGAAGCACCGGCUAAAUACGUG